rnacentral:rRNA from 1 species
GGGUUGUGAGGUUAAGCGACUAAGCGUACACGGUGGAUGCCCUGGCAGUCAGAGGCGAUGAAGGACGUGCUAAUCUGCGAUAAGCGUCGGUAAGGUGAUAUGAACCGUUAUAACCGGCGAUUUCCGAAUGGGGAAACCCAGUGUGUUUCGACACACUAUCAUUAACUGAAUCCAUAGGUUAAUGAGGCGAACCGGGGGAACUGAAACAUCUAAGUACCCCGAGGAAAAGAAAUCAACCGAGAUUCCCCCAGUAGCGGCGAGCGAACGGGGAGGAGCCCAGAGUCUGAAUCAGUGUGUGUGUUAGUGGAAGCGUCUGGAAAGGCGCGCGAUACAGGGUGACAGCCCCGUACACAAAAAUGCACAUA